rnacentral:miRNA from 1 species
UGCAACUGUACAAUGACAAUAGUAGGA